AAAUGCCUGCGGUCGUUCGUUAAGGCCAAAGGUGCCAUUUAAACGCAAACAACUUUACGGCGAGAAAAAAGUGUUAAGUUGAUGAGCAGAAAAUGUUAAAGAAGACUCUUAAUAUUUGAAGUCAACAUAACUCUUUUUAGGACCCGUCGACAGUUUUUUUUCUCUCUCUUUUAACAGAGGCUGAGAAAAGAAUAAAAACCAAAAUCAACACCAAAACCUCUAAAUCUCGUUGGCCGUCAAAGCGUUAAUCAAUAAAAUAAAACCUUAACAAUAACAACCUCCAAGUGUAUUUCAGCCAAAGAAAAGCUUCUCAUCGAAUCCAUUCGCCGUUGAUGCGAUGAAACUAAAUUAAUACGCAAGUAAAACUAUAUCCUGACUCUG